UCUGGUCGGAGUAGCCUUUUGAAUAUUGCAUCUAUUAUUUCUAUGCAUAAGGUAUUAAUUGUCAACCUUAGUUUUUGGCACAGGAAAUGAUCAUUAUCAGCUUGAGAACCUCAAUGCCCACAAUGAAGGUUUUGGUUCUUGACUCCAGAUGACCUAAUUUGAACUCAGUUGUCGGCUUCCCUGCUCGCAAAAGCUGUCCUCACCAUGGAAGAAUAUGGAAAACAGUCGAGAACUAGAACAGCAAGUGGCAUGAUGUUGACUUCGCCAAUAAAACUUCAAUGAAACAAUAUAGCUUCUUGAGAUGCUCAAUUGAAAUUCCAAAGUGUGUAUCAUAGUACUUUUGCAGGAAAUAGGCAUACUCGUGACUUCUGGAUGGUUGAUCCCCUAUAACAGCUUCUUAUGUAAAUGCUGCUUGAGGAUUUCAUGCCCUUCCAUAAGAUUGUCAUGGCAUUUGCUCAAAGCUAAAAUUUUAUACGCGUUACGUUU